rnacentral:lncRNA from 1 species
ACAUGGAACAGACCCAAGCCAAGCCCAGCUGAGUUCAGCCAACCUGUGGACCCAAGAGUAAAAAGAAAGAUAUGUCUGCUGUAAGCCACUGAGAUCUGGGGAUUAUUUGUUACAUAGCCAUGUCACAGCCACGCCUGACUAAUGAGUGUUCAUGAUUUUCUUUACAUGGAACCGCUCUAAUACUUGGAUCUGAGAUGCUCACUCUGAUGCAUAUCACUGAAGAAUUGAGGUCUAAGAAGCAGUCUUUUCCCCUUCAGACUUCUUUCCAUGGCCUCUUCCCAGAAUGUGCAUCUCCUACAUUUUCAGGACAGUUAAUCGCAUUGAAAAAUUCUGUCCAACAAGCCACUCUACAGACUCUCAGCCUUGCCAGUGCCUGACAAGGGCUAUUCUUGUUGUGGGAGGACCUCAGCUUUAUGGGGAGGAUGAUGGGGCUGAAGCUCAGAGAGACAGAGGGGCCUACGAAGCUGCAGCAGCAGGAGCAGAAAGCACAGCCGUAGGGCCUUCUGGAAAGAACAGAGAAGAAGAGCGGCCCUAUGCUGGCGCCGCACGAGGACAUCGUAAACCUGAACCAGGAUGUUCUUUGUGAUGACAGGGUAAUGGGGAGGUGGACGGAGUUGUUGGUAUGAGGGAUCAAGCUGUUCUAUUCAGGAGAGGGAAUGAAGAGUGAUGAGAAGAGAUGCUGCUCAAGCUGCUCAGAGCCUAGAGGGGAGACCUGAGACCUUAAAGAAGCAGACAGAAGGAGGAAGGGAGGAUCACGGGCCUUUCGUCGGUUCUACACGGUGUCACUUUACGGCAGAUUUCACGUGGGUGGCAGAGCUGAGCCUUUGCCGCGUGUUCCAGCUCCCAACUCCAUCCCUUUCUGGAUUCCCUGCUGGACACGUUCUUUCCUCUGGGACUAGCACACUUGGAUUUGGCUCAGUUCCUUCUGGAAGCCGAAGAUGAGCAGGAAGGGAGGAUCACGGGCCUUUCGUCGGUUCUACACGGUGUCACUUUACGGCAGAUUUCACGUGGGUGGCAGAGCUGAGCCUUUGCCGCGUGUUCCAGCUCCCAACUCCAUCCCUUUCUGGAUUCCCUGCUGGACACGUUCUUUCCUCUGGGACUAGCACACUUGGAUUUGUCUCAGUUCCUUCUGGAAGCUGAAGAUGAGCAGGUAAGUUCCCUUUCCACUUCUGGGCAUUUACCUGGUCCUGGAUAGUUGUGACCCAGUGCUCAGUCUGGCAUUUUUGGUUUGCCUGCUCAGGUUUCUUUUUGUGUUUGAUGUUGAGAUUUUGAAGUUUGCCUUUUCUGUGCCGGUGAGUCUAGUGUCCUGGGUCUGGCAUUCCCGAGCCUAACUUCAAAUACACAGGCUACCUUCUUCUCCUGCUUCUUUUCCAAGCAUGGCUUAUUAAUUCAGCUGAACAAUGUUGUUGCUAUUUCUAUUGACUGUAAGGUGAUGUGAGAGGCGGGGCUAUGGUGAUAAGGGGGUGGAGCCAUGGUGAUGAGGGAGAUGGAAAAGUCAAGAGAUUGAAAAGUCAAGAGUUGAGUCUCAUCCUUGCUCUUACGUCUCCUGAAAUUCUGGAUCAAGACCCUCAGAGUGUAGUAGUAACCAGCCUGAAAGUGCCUGUUACUCUUUUGAAAACCAUCGGCAUUGUUUUGGGGCCUGCCAGACUCUGAGGUCCUCGGGGGAGGCAGACACACAAUCUCACUGCUGACUGCCAGGGGUAUCCCAGGAAUGCAUCUCCAAGUCAGUUUUUUUUUUUUUUUUUUUUUAGAAUGUAAAACAUAUUUUCUUGUGAAUGGCAGUUCUAUGAAAACUGAUUAAGAUUCUUGACUGUUCUUCAAAAUCUUUUAAAAUGCUAGGAAGUAAGUAAACAGGAGUUUGUUAAAUUAUUUUCUGUUUUUGUUUUUUUUGGUAUGUUUGAAAUAUUUCAUAUGUAAAAAUAAAAUAAUUCAAUUUAAUGCAUAGUAUUCUGACCUCCGUGCAUCCUGGGAAGAGGGUCAAUAGAGAUGAGGGAGGGGAAGUUAAGGAAGGAAGACAAUUCUCUUUCUCUUGAUUUGUUUUGGGCACAACUUUGAAACAGGGUAGCUAUGUCCUUGGCUUUUUCAUGCUUUCCCUUCUGCAACCUCACCUGCCUCUCACUUCAUCCAGGGUGACAGUCCCAUUCCAGGCAGCCCUUGAACACUGUACUUUCCAAAUGUUCUCUGCCUUCAAAAUUGGGGUGUGGCUAGAAGUGUUUCGAAAGUGCUUCAAUUAUCUAUUGAUGCUCAAUAAAUUGUCUUGAAAUGUGGUGUCUUAAAACAGCUAUUUUAUUUGGUCACACCCUGUGGGUCAGGAAGUAGGAUAGGGCAUAUGGGGAUAGAUGGUUGACAGUCUGUGUGUGAUCCAUGAUGUCUGGUCAGGAAAAGUUUAACAUUGAACAUAGUGAUUAGGAAUGUGGGGAUGUGGGAUCAGAUUGCUGGGGCCCAAAUCCUAGUUUUUCCAUGUAUUAGCUGAUGAAAUAAUGAUAAUCAUAGCCACUAACCUCAUAUGAGUAUUGUCUUCAAGUUGACUUUCAGGUGCAUUCUAGUAUUUAGUCUAGACUGCCCAACUCUGCUGAUAAUGGUGGUAUUGUUAUAUUAUCAUUGCCAUUUACACUUAACCUUGAAAACUCAGCCUAGGCAUAUACAGGCAAGUUCUGGGGUUAGGCUGUUAAGGUCUCACAUGGGAAGGAUAGGCAUUUUGUCCUGUAGACAAAGAGGAAUUUCCAGCUGGGGAAUGACAGGAUCAAGCCCCUUCUCCCUCCCUUAUUCCUGCUCCCUCUGCCCUUUCUUCCUCAUUUCCUCUUCUCUCCCCACUUUAAAACGAUGACAGUAUGUUCAAGUUGUGCAAAUCAAAGGAAUAGAUUAGAAACAGGAGAAUAAAUGUGCUUAGCAGACCCAGGAAAUCUCCAGGGGAUUGGAAUUGAUUACCCAGCAUGUAAUAUACAAAACCAUCAUUUUUCUGCAUGUGGUGAACAAUGGUGAACAAUGGAAGUGAAGUAACUCCCCACUCCAGUCCCCCUAAUCUGAUGGAAUUUUCUCAGUAAUGUUGUGGAGUCAUAGGGGUGAGCAUGCACCAACUGGGCCAAUUCCCACUGGCCUUUAUUUUCUGGAAGGGUUGGCAGCAGAGGAAGACCAGAACCUUUUCCAGUGCACAUACCUACUUUAAUUUGGAGAGGAUUCUGCCUGUCCUGGGAGAUGCUGCGACCUUGGGAAGUUGUGUGGAUGAAAAGAUACAUGCUUUAUAUCAGAGACUUAAAAAAUAUAUCCUGUUAUCUUUCGCCAUGUAAGGAAGGACUUCUUUACAUGGGAUCUGUGUGAACCCCAUAUGGUCCCAUUGUCAUCUGGGGUGGUCCUGGUAUUGGACUUCACUGGAUCCAACAGGGCCAAAUUUACUUCAGUAAUUGGAAAAUCUUGACUGUAUGAUGGGUGCAGGUUAGAGAAUGUUAGGCAGUCAUAAGCUUCAGAGUUUGUUUUGUAGUUCCUUUUAGUUUCAGUUGAGAUUGGCCAUAAGAACUUCGCUUUUCAUGGGUUCAAGUAACCAUGGGGCUGAAUUUCACUUAGUACUCAUCUUUUUUUUUGAUUCUGAAGGUUGGAUUUAUUUGAAUAAAGGGACAAGGGUAACAUGAGCUGCCAACCUAUAUGACGUUUUUGUAUGUAGUAGAAAAAAGCACUCUUUUAUGGCAUAUGUAGCACAUCAAAGUCAUGACUUAGGAGCAAGCAUGGCUAUAUUUUAGCCCCCUAGUUAUCUCCUGAAGGGAGAGUCUAUGCAGUGCCCAACUCACACGUCCAAAUGUGGCAGCCUUGUGUGAAGGGAAAGUAUAUAAUAAUAGGCUGACUUAGUAAUUCAGAAGUGUGCCUGAGCUUGGGACAUCCUUUCUGAUUCAGUAGGUUUUGAUUAGUGGCUUAGAGUUUCUGAUUUAGUAGGUCUGAGGUAGGGCCCAAGAAUUUGGAUUUCUAGUAGGUUCCUAAGUGAUGCCAGUAACCCUGGCCUGGGAGUUACAUUUCGAGCACCACUUCUGUGGGGUGUAAUUCCAUGACCCAGAUUUCCUCACUUCCAGGUGCUAGUUACCUGAUUUGCUCAUCAAACUCAAAUAUGCUUCUUUAUACAGUGGUGUAGGUUGGUCCCAAAUAUAUGGCUUCACUGAAACUUUCUGGAAGAGGAUUCUUCUAGCUGUUUUCCUAGCACUUACUUCCCUGUACUCUAGGAGGCCAUUGAUAAAUUUGGGUCUGUGGCACCUCAACCAGCUCAGCCAUCAGCAUCAGAGUAGAGUUGAACCAGUUCUCCUUUUCUAGACCCUUUGUAUCCUUCAUAAUUCUCUCCUGGAGUAUUGCUUCUUGGACUCAAAUGUCGCGUGCUUGAUUUUAGUCUAGAGAUUUAUUUUUAUAUAGUCUGGAGAAAACACUGCUAUUUUUUGUCAUCUAAGUGCAAAAAACAAAACAAAACUUAGUGUACUAGGAAAUUAUGCAGAGACAGUUUAAUACUUGGACAACUUAAAACAUGUGUGCGCAUGCACAGGGGCUUUCUCAGAGACAUCACUGAGUGAAUAAUAGGCUGCCUGGGCCCUUACAGCAGAGCCAAUGAAAUUUAGUUUUGCUCGAGUUUGGUUAUUGGUGUUAUGAUGCUCCCUCUGGGCCAUCAAGGAGUGAAACUGGGGCGCUCAUUUUUGGAGCUGUUGAAGUUUCAAGCUCCUUUGAGGUAUUGGCAGUGGGCUUGGCAUGCUUUCAGAUGUGGAUGGCUUUCCCACUAAUACCUCACAGGCCCAUGGGACAUUUUUUUAAAAGUUUGAGCACCAAGUCAACCCAUCUCCUUAGUGGCAGUAGUUGCUUUAUCUGUGAGAAUAACUGUCCUUCUUAGCUUCUCAAUUUGUCACCUGUGCAGUGAUUUAUUACCUUCCAAAGCUGCAGUAAUUAUAUAAUGAUGCAAAAAUAAUGACAAGCCAUUCUGAUAAACUUUAUUACCUGUAGCAUCUUGUAUUCAAACUGCAUUCUAGCACACUCUGUAGGAUUACCAAGCACCCCUACAUGUGUGACAGCCAGCAGGGAGGGCGGCUUCUCAGGUCUGAGAGGAAAAGAGGAAAAGAAACAGGAUUCAAGCUUCCUGAACAGAGGCUGGGAAGAAUUGGGUUGGGGUGAGUUGAUUCCCAUUUGGGGCACAGGCCAAAUGGACUUAUCUCCAUUUAUAUCCCAACAAUUCAGUAUUUACUUGCCUAUUUUAAAUUGGGGCUAUAGAAUUGGCUCUUUAAACAAUCUUCAAUGAAAUAUAUAGUCAAAAGAAUGUAUAUAAAUGAUGUGCAGUUGAACUCUUAUUUUUAUCUUGAACCCGCACCUUUAGAGCCUCUCCUUUUUAUCAGAUGACAAAGUUUCCCCUGGAGCUGUGUUGCGAGGCACUGUCCAGUGUUCUAGUCUUGAGAGUGAAGAACUCAAGAAGGCUGACUUACAAAGUAACUUUCAGAUUUGCUUCUCAUUUUGGAAAAAUAUCUGAACUUAAAAUAUCUUUCAUGGGGAAUUGAGAACUGAGAUACAAAAUCAUAAUGUGGCUGGUAAGAGAGUUCUUUUAGUAAAUGCAGCUUGCCUAAUUUGGGUCUGUGGUUGGAGGGUCAGGUCUUCAAUUAUUUUCCUGAACCGAGGAGUAAUGAAGUCCCUAUAGCUGACUGUGGAGGCCAGGAUAAUGGAUAGGGGUCCUGUGCUGUCUUCCAUCUCCUUCCUGAUGACCAGCCAGUGACCUCAGGCAAUGCUUGUUUCUUUUAUGAUGGAUUCUCCUGGGAUUGUACCAGGGGGCUUAGGCCAGGCCUGUGUCCAGAGUUGGGGGGAGGUGCUUAAAAAUGAGGAAAAGUCAUGAUUAUAUCAGAGUACAGAUGAUUCCAGUACUACCAGUGCCCACAUUUCUCAUCUUGACAGGCUCUUAGUCGGAUUACAUUUCCUAGCCUCUUUUACAGUUAGAUGGGAACAUGUGACCUAUUCUGACCAAUAGAAUGUAGGUAUUUCCAGGACCGGCCACAAAUCUCCCAAGCGUGGCUCUCCCUUCUCUUUUUCUACCGCCUGACACCAGAGAAGGACUAUGUAAGACAGAAGAACUGUAGAUGGAAGUGGCCUUAGAAGUUGAGUUACUUCUUAAAGGAGAGACUCCUAGGAGUCCACAGAACUGUAAUGUGAAAGAGAAAUCUUUUUUUGUGUUAAAACAUUGAAGUUCCAGGGUCAACUUGUUACUCUAGCAUAAUUUACCCUGUUCUGACUUCUUGGCUCUGAGAAUCCGUGGAUGAGGUUAUUCCUAUGCCCACAACUAUGCCUAGGAAUCCUGAAAUCUGGCCCAGGUCUUUCUAGGGUCACAUCUGCUAGGGGUUGAAUUGGAGCUGUAGCUGCCAGGCUUCACCACAGCCACAGCAACGCUGGGUCCCUAACCCACUGAGAAAGGCCACGGAUUUAACCCACAUCCUCAUGGAUACUAGUGGCGUUCAUUAUGGCCUAGGUCUUUCUGAUUGGCCAGGGCUGUGCUUUCUUCUUCUGAGUUCUCAAAAUUGGGAAGUAUCUCAGCAUGAGAAUGGUGAUUUGAACCCUGGAGAUCUGUGGGUCGGGAAUUUACGAGUAGCUUUGCUGGGUAGCUCUGGCCGAGGGUCUCACAUGUGGUUGCAGUCAAAAUGUUGGCGGCAGUCCAGUCCUCUGAAAGCUUGAUUGGGGAUGGAGAGAUUUGUUUCCAAAAUGGUCCCUCAGGUGGUUGUGGGCAGGAGACCUCAGUUCCUCACCAUGUAGGCUUCUGCAAAGUCUUCCUGGGCAUCCUUACAAUGUGACAGCUGAUAAGAGUAAGUGGUUCAACAGAAAGAGAAAAUAAGGAAGAAGCCUUGGGAUCUUUUAUGAUCUGAGGUCACACGCCACCACUUCUGCUUUGCUAUAGUCACUCAAAGCAAAUCACUAAGUUGGGCACCUGUUCCAGAGAAGGAGAAUUGGCCUCCACCUCUUGGAGGGAGGAGUGAAAAAGGAUGUGUGGACAUAUUUUGAAACUAUCACAUCCAGUACCAAGCUUUCUUUGCUUAGCUACACUGGGCUACUCUCCAACCCUUGACACAUGAGGUGUAUUCUUAGAUUUUGAACUCCCCCUACAGUACUUUUGCCCCAUCUUCCAGAUUUCCAAUUCUCACUGGACUGUAGCCUUACCCAGGAGUUACCUUUGGAAAAGAUCUGAUGAACUCAUUCAGGCAGGUUGUAAAAUAAAAAAAAAAAAAAA